AAAAUAAAUUAAUAUCAUAUAAACGUUCAAGUAUAUAAUACAAGUUUUAUUUUAUAUUAAACAUUUUUUACAGAAUUUUAUGAUAAAAAAAGUCUCAAUGCAGCGGCAGAUAAAGCCAAAGAAGCUGAAAAUAAAAAAAAACUCGGCUUUCGAAGAAGUUAGUGGAAAAAAAUCAUUGAAAUAAAGGUUCCUGGCGAAAAUCAGACAAC